UUAAAUUGAAGAGUUUGAUCAUGGCUCAGAUUGAACGCUGGCGGCAGGCCUAACACAUGCAAGUCGAACGGUAACAGGAAGCAGCUUGCUGCUUUGCUGACGAGUGGCGGACGGGUGAGUAAUGUCUGGGAAACUGCCUGAUGGAGGGGGAUAACUACUGGAAACGGUGGCUAAUACCGCAUAACGUCGCAAGACCAAAGAGGGGGACCUUCGGGCCUCUUGCCAUCAGAUGUGCCCAGAUGGGAUUAGCUUGUUGGUGAGGUAACGGCUCACCAAGGCGACGAUCCCUAGCUGGUCUGAGAGGAUGACCAGCCACACUGGAACUGAGACACGGUCCAGACUCCUACGGGAGGCAGCAGUGGGGAAUAUUGCACAAUGGGCGCAAGCCUGAUGCAGCCAUGCCGCGUGUAUGAAGAAGGCCUUCGGGUUGUAAAGUACUUUCAGCGGGGAGGAAGGUGUUGUGGUUAAUAACCGCAGCAAUUGACGUUACCCGCAGAAGAAGCACCGGCUAACUCCGUGCCAGCAGCCGCGGUAAUACGGAGGGUGCAAGCGUUAAUCGGAAUUACUGGGCGUAAAGCGCACGCAGGCGGUCUGUCAAGUCGGAUGUGAAAUCCCCGGGCUCAACCUGGGAACUGCAUUCGAAACUGGCAGGCUUGAGUCUUGUAGAGGGGGGUAGAAUUCCAGGUGUAGCGGUGAAAUGCGUAGAGAUCUGGAGGAAUACCGGUGGCGAAGGCGGCCCCCUGGACAAAGACUGACGCUCAGGUGCGAAAGCGUGGGGAGCAAACAGGAUUAGAUACCCUGGUAGUCCACGCCGUAAACGAUGUCUACUUGGAGGUUGUGCCCUUGAGGCGUGGCUUCCGGAGCUAACGCGUUAAGUAGACCGCCUGGGGAGUACGGCCGCAAGGUUAAAACUCAAAUGAAUUGACGGGGGCCCGCACAAGCGGUGGAGCAUGUGGUUUAAUUCGAUGCAACGCGAAGAACCUUACCUGGUCUUGACAUCCACGGAAGUUUUCAGAGAUGGAUUGUGCCUUCGGGAACCGUGAGACAGGUGCUGCAUGGCUGUCGUCAGCUCGUGUUGUGAAAUGUUGGGUUAAGUCCCGCAACGAGCGCAACCCUUAUCCUUUGUUGCCAGCGGUCCGGCCGGGAACUCAAAGGAGACUGCCAGUGAUAAACUGGAGGAAGGUGGGGAUGACGUCAAGUCAUCAUGGCCCUUACGACCAGGGCUACACACGUGCUACAAUGGCGCAUACAAAGAGAAGCGACCUCGCGAGAGCAAGCGGACCUCAUAAAGUGCGUCGUAGUCCGGAUUGGAGUCUGCAACUCGACUCCAUGAAGUCGGAAUCGCUAGUAAUCGUGGAUCAGAAUGCCACGGUGAAUACGUUCCCGGGCCUUGUACACACCGCCCGUCACACCAUGGGAGUGGGUUGCAAAAGAAGUAGGUAGCUUAACCUUCGGGAGGGCGCUUACCACUUUGUGAUUCAUGACUGGGGUGAAGUCGUAACAAGGUAACCGUAGGGGAACCUGCGGUUGGAUCACCUCCUUACCUUAAAGAAGC
rnacentral:rRNA from 1 species